rnacentral:rRNA from 1 species
CCUACGGGUGGCAGCAGUGGGGAAUAUUGCGCAAUGGGCGAAAGCCUGACGCAGCGACGCCGCGUGAGGGAUGAAGGUCUUCGGAUAGUACACCUCUGUCAGCAGGGCAGAACGGUCACUGUGCUAAUCAGCAGUGAAUUGACGGUACCUGCAAAGUAAGCACCGGCUAACUCCGGGCCAGCAGCCGCGGUAAUACGGAGGGAGCUAGCGGUAAUCUGAAUUACUGGGCGUAAAGCGCUCGUAGGCGGUAUGUCAAGUCAAGGGUGAAAUCCCCGCGCUCAACGUGGGAACUGCCUUUGAAACUGGAAAACUGGAGUGGGUGAGAGGAUAGUGGAAUUCCAGGUGUAGGAGGGAAAUCCGUAGAUAUCUGGAGGAACAUCAGUGGCGAAGGCGACUAUCUGGCACAUAACUGACGCUGAGGAGCGAAAGCGUGGGUAGCAAACAGGAUUAGAUACCCGAGUAGUC